AGCCCCCGGCGCCACGGGCCGGCCCGCGGCUCCUCGCUGCUCUCAGCUCCGGGGAGGCCUUUGUCUUUUCCCCGCUCCUCUCUGAGCGCUGCCGCCCCUGAGCUCAGGGCAGGGCCCCGCGAGGGCUCACCGUGACUCCACGUAGGGCCGGGGGCAGCAGCCUCGGCGUGGCAGCAGGGCCUGUCCGCCCCCGGGCUUCCCCCCCCCCCCCCCCCGGGGCGUUAGGAGCUGCUGCCGUCCGCAGGGGAUAGAGCCGGGCCUCAUCCAGCUGAGGCCUCGCAGGCGCCGUGCCCCUCCUGGCAGCCGGCGCCUCUUCCGACCGCUGAGGGGGCCGAGGGGUCUCUGGGGUGCGAUGGCGUCCGGGCUGGCCCUCACCCUCUCCUCAGCAGGACUGCUCCUGGAGCAUGCUGGAAGAUCCCCAUCUCCAGCACCCGCAUUGAUCCUGAUGGGACACUGCUGGGCAUUGAGGGGCUGGUGACCCACGCAAGUGCUGACCCGAGGGGCGUGGGCCGGGCUGUGCGUACCGCAGGGGAAGCUCCAUCUGUCAGACCUGCGCUGGGGUGCACGCACCUCCUGGCUACAGGAUGGGCUUCGCCAGCUAAUUGCACCAAAGCCUGUAGGCAGCUCCCACUCGGCACCUGGCGAUGACACCACUGGCCUGUCCUUGUCUUUAUCUUGAAGUGAAGGAGUGUGUUUUCAUUAAACAGCCUUUUGCUCAACUGCAGAAA